GCCGCCGUGGCAGGCGCGGGCAGGCGCGUCCCUGUCCUCGCGCCGGACGGAGGGACUCUGCGAAACGGCUCCGGGCCCUUCGCGGCCCUCCGGCGGGGCAGCUCCCAACAUGGCGCCGGGGCGGCCCGGGCCCGGGGCGGGGGUGGAGAUGUGAAAAAGCAGGUGAAGGAGGGGGUCGGUGGCAUGAAAAACGAGUCCAGCGGGGAGGACGAGGUUAAAAGUCAAAACCUCACUGCUAGAGCAACACGUGCGUGUUGGAGGGCCGGAGCAGGCCGUGUGACCGGGCUGCGACCGGCCGCCGCCGCCCCCGCGGUGAGCGGGCUGCGUGGAGGGGCUCGGCCCCGGUCGGAGGUGCGUCCCGGGGGCGUCUGCCCAUAGCGAGAGCUGAAAACACAGAAAGGCUUAUAAAUCUGAAGAGUAUAUAUAAUUUUAAUGAAGAGAUUCACACAGAAGAAACACAAGGACUUAACUGACGGAAAGUAGAAGGGCUAUGACGAGCUGAAGGUUUUCUGUAAAGGAAGGGAGCAAACUGGAAAAGCAGAGCAAUAUUCUUCUCCAAGAGGCAACUGCUUAUUGUGAUUAUUGAACGUCCUAUUCAAGAAAGCUCUCAAAAUGAAAAAGACUCAGAACAAAAAUAUGACAAUCUCAUACAGUGGGACAGGUUCAAGAUCCAACCCAAAAAUGUUGGUUAAGAAGGCCUGCACGUACCUGCCCCUGGACCAGUUCCCUCAACAGCCAUCUGCCUUCAUCCACAUCUCUGUAGUACCUCUCCUGAUAGCCUAAUUUUGGCUCUGAGCUAGAUGCAGUGCCUAGAUAAGAUAAGGAUAAGAUUUCAGCCAGAUGGAUUACGAGCAACAUUUUCUUUCAAUGUUCUUGGCACCAGCUCUGCAGAAGAUUGCUUCAGCCCAACAGGAUAAAAUCCUGUCCUUCGGGCAGCCGAGCUGGACCCUUACUUGAGCAUGCAACGUGCUUGUCCUGCGCAUUGCCAUCUCAGCUGUAUUGCCCUCAGAGCAGCUCUUUCCCAUCUGAAAUCUGGUCGAGCUGCUGACUCUAGAGCCAUAGAGCAUAAACUACCUACAGAGGUGGGUGACAGCAUUAAGAGUCUGCACCUGUGUAUCCAUAUGUGCCAUCAAUAAGCAGCAUUACAGAGGCCUUUGUUUCUGAUGUUCUACAUUGAUAAGAAAAAACAAUGUCCAUGGCCCAUUAAACUCUAUACGGUAAGGAGAACUUCCUAUGAAGCUUAUAAACAUAUGUAAUGCAAAUGGAAGUAGUGGGAGUAAUAUGUCAAGAAGAGUUGCUCACAUAUUGAUAUCCUUGGGAGUUCUCUAGAUGACUUUUCCUGCACUUUGUGAUAUUCUGCACAAAGAGAAUAUCUUCUCUUCUACUUUCUCAAAUCUUUUGUGUACCAAAUCCAUACCUAGCAGGCACACAGAACCAGAGCAAAGACGCAUCUGUAAGUGUAUGUACCGGACUGCUAUGCAGACAGAAGAGAGAUGGUGGCAACAGGUACAUAUGGCAGGCCAGUUCCCAGAAGAUGCUGAGCCCUGGAGAGCAGAAGCUGUCCCUGUCUCUGCCAUCAAAGCCACAGCAGAUAGGCAACAUUGAGUUUUACAUGCUCCUGUCUUUCCAGUGUAAUACUGAAUCUCAAAAGGGAAAAAUCAAGGAAAGACUGAAGUGUUGUUUGCUUUUGUACAUGCAACGUGCAUAUAUCUCUCUUUCCUUUGCUUUGACUUUGUCAGAAGCUCCCUAAAACUGAGUUUUGGGGUCACUGCAAAACACAGCUGAGAAGAUCUGGCAAUGGUAUAGGGGUCUGACUAAAAAUAUGUUUUCCCCUGACUUCUACCAGCAAGGCUAUCAAACAACACUGAAUAUGUAAGGAUGUGUCAGUUUAAAAUUUGAUUCAAUCAGAUAUCAAAAUCUGGUGUUUCUUUCAGUGACAUCCCUCUUCAAUCACCAGCCUUGUACAGUACAGUCUGAAUGAUUAUUUUCAUGACACACUGUCCCCUUCUAAGUAGCCUUCCCCUUUUCUUCUCUGCUGAUCUUCCAGUUUGAAGCCAAGCAGGUAGUAUAUAAGAACACCAUACUCACAACUUUUUCAGAGUCAGCAGCUGAGCUCAUUUUACUGAGCCUGUACUGUGCAGAAGAAGCCGUCUACAAAAACCAGAACUUUCAAACUAUCUGUCCCAUCAAAGAAUCUGGACAGCUCUUGGGAAUUUAAUCUGGUUAUCAUGACCUACAGACUGUAAAUGAUCUAUGUGGUAGCGCAACAAAACGUGGUGUUUCUCUUCUGACCUAUCAUGGCAAGCCAUAGCCAGGCCUGCGUGAGCCUGGACCAUCCCUGUCUUGUAUCUGAUGAUCGUUUACAUCUGCAGAUGUAAGAGCAGAAUUUACAUUUUGUUAUCAUUUUAAAACUACCUUGCAGAGACAUAAAUGACUAAAUUAAUGGCAAUGCAGAAAAGAACUGGGGCCAGGGAGGAUGGUUUCCAAGAAGACUGCUUCCGUAACUAGUUGGAGUGGUAGCGAACCCUCACCUUUGCUAGAGACAGAGCUUGCUGCCUCAGACUCACCAGACAUUUUUAGUGUGUUGCCUGUUAUUUGGCAGGUUGCAACACUGCCUGCUUCACAGCACUUACUUACACUCCACCCAGCUGCUGCGAGAACCAGCAAAGUUCAGCAAAUUCCCAGUCAGGCAGGCUUUCACUAGAAUAGAAUAUAUUAGAAUAGCCACUUUUACACUGCCUGAUUUGAACAUAGCCCAGUUUCUGCUGUCUGCUGUUGGUUCAUAUGAUAUGAGUGUGAAAGUUUUUGAGGUAAACCAGAUUUUUUUAAACAAUUGAAGCAUAAAUGUUGCUGGACAUAUAUGUCCAUUAAAACUGGCUAGGUGAAUUACUACUUAUUGCACUCCCAUUUGACUAGUGCUACACAUGAAUGGAAGUAACAAAACAGAGGGGAGAACCAGAGAGGAGAUGUCUUGGGCAUAACUCCAGAUGCACAGAGAUAGACAUCCCUAGGGAAGGAGAGCUGCAAAAAAGGCAUCAAAAUGGAGUUCACUGAACCAGUGUUUAAAGCUUUUGCGAAGUGUCUUUUUUUAGCAAGAUUUUAAAGUCAAAUAUCCUCACAGAAUUUAUGUUACACUUGUCCUGAGGAUAAAGAUAGUAAGGAUUCAUUAUUUAUCUGCCUCAUUUCUCAGGUUAAUUUCUGAGUCUGCAGGUCUCUCCUUGGCCCUGCAUUAGACAAGAGGCUGUGGAUGUCUCUCCAUCGCCAGGAAGCGCACAGAAAAGCACAUACCCCUUAGUCCCGGCUGCUCAGUGGAAAAAGGGCAGACACAUUCCUCCUCAAAAGCAUGAGACAUUAUAUUCCCCAACUGCCACAGAUAAUUCAUAGCAGAGAAGAAAAAACAAAACAAAGCCACACUAAAGUACAGUAGAGAAAACCCAGGAAAACAGGUUAGACAGAGUUUAAGCACAACUUUUCCCUGCAGAGAGAGCUUGUGUUAGCUCUUAAGUUCCAGAAAUGGAGGAAAAAUAAACACAGCUUUUGGAUUUAAUCUGGUGAAAUGGAGUUAGCUCUUGCUUGUCCCCAAGACCUCACAGCGGAGAGUGUCCUCUUGCAGGCAGCUGGGGCUUGCUCUCCCCGAAACGCUCUUUCAGUCUCUUUUUGAAGAUCAGGGAAUGUAUCUGUCCUGCACAGCAGGAUUCCACUGCUUUUGAGUUAGAAAAGAUGGGAAUUUCAAUGCUAAUACAACAACAUCAGUCUCUAGACUAGCAAAAACCAUUUGUAGGAAGGGAAUGCCUGGGAACAGAGACAUUAGAAGAGAAACCCCAUAGCUGUGUCGAGGCUGAGCUGUUGCACUCUUUAAAAUAGACAUUUAGAAAAUAGUAAGUACAGUAAGUAAGAAAUGAGAAGUAAGAUCCCAGUCCUGCAAACACUCUUAAGGCUUCUGCCGUAAGCAUUUGCCUUUGUUUACAGUGAUGGGACAUGAAAUUAAACCCGAUGCAUUCAUUGUCAUGUAUUUCUAUAUUGUGCUGAUCAGAAGCCCUGAUACAUGCAUCAGACUUAGGUAUUCCCAGCCCCUGCGUCCAGCAGAGAGCGGGAAUGGUCUUUGAAUGGAUAUUCCUAGAGAAACAGAAGUGAGAUCCCAGUCAGUUCACCUGAGUGCAGGUUAAGCUCUGAGCAGUUGAAUAAUUCACCUCAGUGUCUGCAAGUUAAUUGUGUCAGAGCAAGCUCCUCUUUGCUUAAAAAAAUUAUUCUGAAUCUAUUUCUUCUUUGCAAUUGCAUACAGUCAUGUAAACGGCACGUAAAAGGCUGCCAUUUUUCUGUCAUCCACUUUGCACAUAUGCACAGAGCAUAUAAAACACAGUUGGUUGUACCACAGUGAGAUAAACUGGCCUCCAUUUAUAGGCCUACCUACUACAUAGAGGAAAAUAUUCCUCAUUCAGUGUUAAUAUAGGCAUAUAAAAAGCCUCAGCUGAAUCCUGGGCUCAGUCAUACUAAGAAAAUGUGAAGAAAACACUAGUUUAAAUAAAAUGUUAAAAAAGGAUCUUGGAGAGCAGAGUGCGGGCCUCUGUGCUGCAGCGUACCUCAGACCUGUCUGGGAUGGACUCUGCAAUACGAACCUCCAACAGCAGUAAUAUUCACCAGUGAAUUGGGAACGGAGGGGGCUUAACGCAGGCCGAGCGGCCCGACAUUGCACCUGUGCUGAGGGGCCGUGAGCAGGCAGCAGCUGCAGCUGGCCGCCGCGGCCCCCAGCGAGCCACCACAGCGCCAGGCCGGCGGGCGCCACCGCUCAGCGGCGACCCGAGGAUGCCCGGUACCUUGCCGCUGUCAGGCCCAGGAAAAUGUUAGUUCUUCACUGCUCAGGCUGAACAGGAAAUCUCUUCUGUAGACAAAAGGGGCCUGACCUUGUUUUGGGCCUCUAGGCACUACUGGCAUAACUAUCACGCUUGGCACUAGAAAUUGCCUUGCAGCCUAACGCACCGAAAAAGAGGUGAAUCGAUGGUGAGAUACGUGAGUGCAGACAUAGCUUUUGAGGCCCAGUGACCACUUCCACCACAAAAAUGCAAUCUGGCAGCCUGGCCCGUGCAUUUAGCGGUGGUGCCCAGUCAGCCGCACGCUGCCCACGGCAGCAGGCGUGAGCAGGGCCUGGCAGGACAGCGGCGCCUGGGCCUCCCCGAGCGCUGCGCUGUGGGGUGCCGAGCCGGCGCCCGGUGGCAGCUCAGGGCCUUUGGGGCAGCAGCGGCGGCACGUGGGCAGUACGGCGGGGUGUUGCAUAGCCUCCGGCACACGAUCAGUUCUGCAGAAUAGGUGCAACUAACUUAUUUUUUGGUCAUAUGAUGCCAAUACAGCUGUAAAUAAGCAUGACUACAGUUUGAUGCUGCUGGGAACUAAACUCACAAGACACUAAAUAAUAAAUAUAUUUAGACUGAAAGCAA